CGGCAGACGGGUGAGUAACGCGUGGGAACGUACCUUUUGGUUCGGAACAACACAGGGAAACUUGUGCUAAUACCGGAUAAGCCCUUACGGGGAAAGAUUUAUCGCCGAAAGAUCGGCCCGCGUCUGAUUAGCUAGUUGGUGAGGUAAUGGCUCACCAAGGCGACGAUCAGUAGCUGGUCUGAGAGGAUGAUCAGCCACAUUGGGACUGAGACACGGCCCAAACUCCUACGGGAGGCAGCAGUGGGGAAUAUUGGACAAUGGGGGCAACCCUGAUCCAGCC
rnacentral:rRNA from 1 species